rnacentral:lncRNA from 1 species
CGGCGCGCGCGUGUGUGUGCGUGAGUGUGUAUUCGCUGGGACUGGAGCUGGAAAGUUCAAACUAAACGUGUUGCUCUCCCGGGUGGCCGAGGCUCGCCACAGAGGCUCUGCCCAACUUCUCUGGGCCAAGUGACUGGCAGUGCCCGGCGCCCUUGGCGAGUCGCAGGCUGCUCGGCCCGGUGCCCGGGCGCAGCGGCAGCAGCGUCUCCGGUCAACCUGGGAAGGAGCCCCACGACCAGGGCUGGACGCUCGCCCCAACAGAUCGCAGACUCUCGGGGUCCUGGGCUAGCACCCUGGCAACCAGAAAAAGGUACGUGACACUUUUCCUACAGGAAUCUACUCUCACCCAGCCCGCGUGUGUAGGUAGCUGUCUAGAUGCUUUCUCUGCCAGGGGUGGUCACCGUUCGUCAAACUUUACCUCCACCUUCACACUAGCUGGUGGCAGCGGAGACUGCUCACGCUGGUAAAUUUGCUGAUAUGAACCGAGUGGGGGCAGUUUAUGUUGCAAGCGGUUCUUGCCAUCUGAAUGAAGACUGCCUUUCGGAUAGAAUCGCAGCUCUUACCUUCUGGUGGUGAUGUUGAUUGUGAUGCUCUUGCCUGGAAGGCUUGUUAAAGGUCUCCUGGGCCCUUCUGUAGGAAAAGGGCUUACAAGUUUGCAGGAAAUCCUACGUGUAAACCAGGGGAAGUUUGCAGGAGCUUGACUCCCGGGGAGGAGGAGUAACCCUUUCUUUGCAGUAGCGGCAACCGCGGUUUGGAAGCAGCAGUAGCGGUGGCGGAAGGAAAAGCGGUUUGGCUCCUGGCAGCAGCUGCUUGUUGUCCUGUCUGUGACUGGGAGAAGACGGAAAACUGGGGCUGCCUUGUCCAAGCAUGCGACCCAAGAGCUGCCUGCAUAGACGCCAUGGGAAUUAAGCACAGUGAUAAUAGAAACUAAAGGAAAAA